rnacentral:rRNA from 1 species
AAAUCUCGAUGGCCGCGAGGCCGCCCCCGGGCGGUCGGCCACCGAACAGAUGUUUCUUCCUCGGUCUGGUGGCCAUAGCACGAGCGAAACACCCGAUCCCAUUCCGAACUCGGCCGUUAAGCGCCGUUGCGCUGAUGGUACUGCGUCUCAAGACGUGGGAGAGUAAGUCACCGCCAGAC